GAUGAACGCUGGCGGCGUGCCUAAUACAUGCAAGUCGAGCGAACGGACGAGAAGCUUGCUUUUCUGAUGUUAGCGGCGGACGGGUGAGUAACACGUGGAUAACCUACCUAUAAGACUGGGAUAACUUCGGGAAACCGGAGCUAAUACCGGAUAAUAUUUUGAACCGCAUGGUUCAAAAGUGAAAGACGGUCUUGCUGUCACUUAUAGAUGGAUCCGCGCUGCAUUAGCUAGUUGGUAAGGUAACGGCUUACCAAGGCAACGAUGCAUAGCCGACCUGAGAGGGUGAUCGGCCACACUGGAACUGAGACACGGUCCAGACUCCUACGGGAGGCAGCAGUAGGGAAUCUUCCGCAAUGGGCGAAAGCCUGACGGAGCAACGCCGCGUGAGUGGUGAAGGUCUUCGGAUCGUAAAACUCUGUUAUUAGGGAAGAACAUAUGUGUAAGUAACUGUGCACAUCUUGACGGUACCUAAUCAGAAAGCCACGGCUAACUACGUG
rnacentral:rRNA from 1 species